UACGUAGGGUCCGAGCGUUGUCCGGAAUUAUUGGGCGUAAAGGGCUCGUAGGCGGUUUGUCACGUCGGGCGUGAAAACUCAGGGCUCAACCCUGAGCGUGCUUCCGAUACGGGCAGACUAGAGGUAUGCAGGGGAGAACGGAAUUCCUGGUGUAGCGGUGGAAUGCGCAGAUAUCAGGAGGAACACCGGUGGCGAAGGCGGUUCUCUGGGCAUGACCUGACGCUGAGGAGCGAAAGCAUGGGGAGCGAACAGG
rnacentral:rRNA from 1 species